GCUUUUGCAUCCAUCUAUGUAUGUUUAUCGAUAGUUAAUCAACCAUUAUUUGUGUUUUUUGGUUGACUUCUUAUAAACAACGCAAUGGACUCAACUAAGAUUGAGUUUGCAGUGCAAAUGCACAAACACGACAAAUCGUGCGUAGACAGCCUGCGGCGUGCUCUGGAGGGCAUGGGUCAAGUUGACAUUGAUCCGGCCGAGGGACGCGUGAUUGUGCAGACAACAGUGCCAUGGUCGGAAGUUCAGGACAAAAUCGAAAGCACCGGUCGCCGGGCUGUUCUCUCCGGCUUUGGAGGACAAUCAGCGGUGGCGCUUAUCAAUACAACCGGCUGUGUCGUUGACCGGACUCCCGUACAGGGCGCAGUGCGUUUCAGCACAAUUGCUGCACAGCAGGCUGGCGUAGUUGUUGAUGGAGUGGUGGAUGGAUUAGCGCCGGGACUCCACGGCUUUCACAUACACGAAAGCGGCGAUGUGUCCAAAGGCUGUGCAUCAGUUGGAGACCAUUAUAAUCCGCGUAAUUCGCCACACGGUAGCCCAGACGCAGGCACAGCUAAGCGACAUGCCGGCGACUUGGGUAACAUACGUGCCGACGAAACUGGCCGUGCCACAUUCCGUUUCGUUGAUCCUGCCCUGGAAAUUUGGGACAUAAUUGGACGAGCUGUUGUCAUAACAGCCAAUGCGGAUGACAUGGGACGCGGUGGCAACUCGCAAAGUCUAAUCGAUGGCAAUUCCGGUGACAGAAUUGCCUGCGGCAUAAUUGCCCGCUCGGCUGGCAUUUUGCAGAACUUUAAGAGAAUUUGCGCCUGCGACGGUGUAACGCUUUGGGAUGAGCGUAAUAAACCGCUGGCGGGCAAAGGACGUUCUACAAAACUCUUUUAAACGUGCCAAAUGCGCUUUGCAUUUGGUUUUGUAGGACUGCACGAGUUUGCCACCAGGCGAAAUGGCAAUCGCUGCAUGAAUCUGUGGAACAAGAACCCCAUUAGCAGCCAACCCGCAUACUUUUAAUAAAUGCAAUUGUGUCUGCAUUUCCGCUGCUGGCCAUGGACUGCAGUAAAAUUAUAUAAAAUUUCCAAUGUUUAAAAUUCGAGGAGGUAGAUAGUUUAAAUAGAUGGGACAACGCUUCCUGUUGAUGGCUGCCAAAGAGCUAUAUAAAGGUUUGUUAAAAAGAUGACACUAA